GUCACGGUGGUCUAGCGGUUAGAACGCUGGCCUUGUAAUCCUGGGGUCUCGGGUUCGAUUCCCGGCGGUGCCG
rnacentral:tRNA from 1 species